UCAGAGGGCGGCAGUCUCGAACGGAAUGCAGUUCUAGUAUCUUCUUCCUCAACUCGGCCGCCAUUUUUGGUAACUGACGAAGGAGAGAGAUAGUGAGGGAGAACAGGUGGCCGACGCGCAAAAUGGAGUUCCUCGUGCAGCCAAUCAUGAGAUCCACUCUGAUUGAGGAGGUCGGAAGAUUCGCCGGCGGAUGGUACUAGGCGAACGUUUGUGCGGGUGGCACCGCAGGAGGCCACGGGUGUGAGCGGCGAAGAGCAGAUCUACCGGGUGUGGAGCGGCGGCAAUCGACGGGGAAGAUGGAUCCCUAGGAUCUUGGUUGGAAUAAGAGGGUGAGGAUCGGUGCUACUGCCCCCGGAAGGACGCCUUGAGGCAUCAGAAUUGUCCACCGGGAAGAUGAACCUGCAGGCACUUGGUUGGGCUAAGAGGUUUCUGUUUGUUGAGGAGGUGGAUGAGAGCGCGGCUCCAAUGGAUCCGGUUGUCAUGGUUUCGCUCCCGGGCGCCGUCCAGGCGACAGCAACAUGCAAGGGGGCUGGUAGUUCGCCAGCGCUGGCCAUGAGUGUGGACGCACAGAUCUGCGAGGAGGGAAGGGGCGGGAAGGAUAGACGCGAGUCGUCGCUGCAGGUAUCGGAAAUGUCCAUGGGGUGAGGAUAGGCACGGCCGCUCGUUGCAGGAAACCAUGCUCGUCGUGUGUGACUGCAUUUGAGAAAAUUGUAAGGAGGUAUGCAGAGAACCCUUCUGAGAACGUCAUUGUGCCGAUUCUGGGCGCAAGCUUUGAUUCGCUAGGAGAAGCUUAUGAUUUCUGCAACCUUUAUUCCUGGGAGAGAGGAUUUGGAAUAAGGUACAAGAAGAGUAGAGUGAAUGUCGAGAGGAUGAAGGGCAUGCAGGAGAUCGUGUGCGGGUGCUCGGGGAAGGCUGGCGUGGAGAACACUAGGUCCUGUCGGUGUGAGUGUCAUGCGCUGAUCAGAUUACUCAGAUCAGAGGACAAUGAGUGGUACAUCGUUCAUCACAGGAGAAGCACAUCCACUCUCUCUAGCCAAAUUUUGGCAGAAGAUUCAUUGGCCAUCCCACAAACACAUUGAUGUGUACAGUCGUGAGUUGUGACUUGAUCAAGCAGGUGGGGCAGAACAAUGUCAACCUUGCAAAAAAUGUACAACAUUGUUGGGAGUUUUUUCGGGUCAAUGAAGAAUGUGCCGUUUACGAAGAGGUCUCUGAAAAAUCUAUGUGGAAAGAUUAGCUAGGAGCAGGCGAAUGACGAUGUGAGGAAGACAAUGGAAGUGUUUGCUGAAUUGGGGGCAAAGGAUCCACACUUUACAUACCAUGUGCAGGCAGACAAAGAGGGUCGGAUAAAGAACUUGAUGUGAGCGAAUGGCAGCAGCAGGCUGAAGUACAGUUUCUUUGGUGAUAUAGUGAUGUUUGAUACAAUGUACCGGACUAACCUUUACGACAUGCCCUUAAGACUUUUUGUUGGGGUUAACAACAAUUUUCAGAGUAUUAUACUGGCUGGUGUACUGGUAUGCGACGAGACUGAGGAAAGUUUUGAGUGUGUCUUUUCAGAUUUUCUACAGAUGAUGAGAGGCGUGGCGCCGAAGACAAUACUCAUUGACAAGAAUCGGACGAUGAAUUGCAUAAAAGAACAACAUGUUUGGACAUGGGUGAUGUCCAGGGAGCAACCUCGGAAGUCUGCGAGGUGUAAGAAUUGUGGGGUUGAGGGCCAUAGGAGAAACACCUGCACUAAGGCAAUGGAGAUGAGGUUAGCAAAUGUGGGAUGCUGGAGUGUAGUGCUAGGCCCGACGGACUGUUUUUUGUUAGUUGUAAACAUGUUAUGUUGUGUUGUGGAUUAUUUUAGAUUUUGUGUUGCACUCGUUGGCAGGCUGAACUGCAGUUAAAAAAUCUAGCAUUAUUUCAGUAAUUAAAUGCCCAUGGUGCGAAUGAUGGCUGUUGUCGUAGUUA